rnacentral:rRNA from 1 species
AGGUCCGCCUGCCAGUGUAUAUUUUAAACGGCCGCGGUAUUCUAACCGUGCAAAGGUAGCGUAAUCACUUGUCUUCUAAAUAAAGACCAGUAUGAACGGCUAAAUGAGGACAAACCUGUCUCUUACAACCAAUCAGUGAAACUGAUCUCCCAGUACAAAAGCUGGGAUAUUAACAUAAGACGAGAAGACCCUGUGGAGCUUUAAACCUAUUAAUUAACCCCUAGACCUAGUAAAAAUUUUGAGUUGGGGCGACUUCGGAGCAAAACACAACCUCCGAGCACGGAACCACUACUUCCAACCAAGGCCUACAAGCCAAAACAACAGACCCAGUCACACUGAUCAACGAACCAAGUUACCCCAGGGAUAACAGCGCUAUCUUCUUCAAGAGUCCAUAUCGACAAGAAGGUUUACGACCUCGAUGUUGGAUCAGGACACCCAAAUGGUGCAGCCGCUAUUAAAGGUUCGUUUGUUCAACGAUUAACAGUCCUACGUGAUCUAGUU